rnacentral:rRNA from 1 species
UACGGAGGGUGCGAGCGUUGUCCGGAAUCACUGGGCGUAAAGGGCGCGUAGGCGGCUUCUCAAGCGUGUGGUGAAAGUCCGGGGCUCAACCCCGGAUCGGCCGUGCGGACUGGGGAGCUCGAGUUCUGUAGAGGCGGGUGGAAUUCCGGGUGUAGCGGUGGAAUGCGCAGAUAUCAGGAGGAACACCAAUAGCGAAGGCAGCUCGCUGGGACGGUACUGACGCUGAGGCGCGAAAGCGUGGGGAGCGAACAGG